AAUACGUCUACUUUAUAUUUCUUUGGUGAUCUAACUUAUGAUUAACUUUAUAAGUCAUAAAGCUAGAUUCACCAAAGAAAUAUGUGGUUGGCA